AUUAUCAUCAGUAAAAUAAGGGGCUAGCCUACCCUGUGCUUUAUACAUUCAAUAGCUACAUUAUGGGGAGAGAAGGGUGUACAAGAACAACAAAAUCGGGGCAUGUAGAGAUAUACAGAGAUAUGCACACUUCAGCCAGUGAAUGAACACAGGGUAGUGAUCGUGGCCGGAACCACAGAAAUCAGUGCAAGACCUCCUGUGGUCGGAUACUGUAUCAUCUGUUAGAAAUUAUACCAUUAGAGGAGAAGAGCAUGGAAAGGCAAUUAAUGAUCCUCCAUCUAAAGGAUAUUCUAACCCAGGCAGAUUUUAAACAGGAUCACAUAGAGAACAUUCAUUUCCCUAGCAAAUUACCUCUCAGAAGAUUGAGGAAGAUGAGAAUGCAGAAUCUGACUAAUAUUAAAGUGCCUUUCGCUGUCUGCUGCAGAGAUAACAUCACAUUGUGGAUUAUUUGCAGGAAAGGGUGAAAAUUCUAAUCGUGUGAUUUUUCA